AAAAAAAAAAAAAAAAAGAAAAGAUAAAUUUCACAUAUCACCCAUAUAGUUUCGCACUUUCUUAUUUUUGUAACCUGUGAUUUAAAAUGUAUUAAGUUAGUGUCACGUGGUUUCGUUUUUUUCCUUUCGUCAACUUUUUCGUUAAUAUUUUGUUAAAUUAUAUGCAAGAAAUUUCAGAUAUUUUAUCUAGAUUUAUCGAAUAUUCACUUUUUUAUCCUUUAGUUUUAACUUUGUCACUAAUUUAAAGAAAAAAAUUAGUGAAAUUGAUAAUAGAAAAAAUAAAAAUGAAAUCACAGAGUAUUAAAUUGAUAUAUUUUAAACCACAGGACACUAAAGUAAAAAAGUGUGAAACCACAGGAGUGGUAUUUGAAGUUUUCUCUAAAAAAAAUUUACUGUAUCAUAGUUAGGCUUCCUUUGGAAUUGCGGAAAGAUUAUGUUACGUACGGUGAGAAAGUACUACGUAAUAUUGCGUUCGAGUCAGUUACGAUAUAUUUUCUGCGGUCCCACCGGAGAAAGCAGAAGCAUAUCUUUAUAUAUUUUUUACUCAACUCUAUUUUAUUUAAUAGCGUUAGAUAAACUUCAAUACCAAACUAAGUCUUACGCCGCAUCAUCAACAAUAAGUCAAUCAUAUCUUUUCGUUGAAAAAAAUAUAAUAACGAUAUUUUCUAUAAUCACGAUGAAACAAAUAAAUUCAAAAAAAAUUAUUUAAUUAGUCAGGAACGCUACAUCACUAAUAUAACUAAUGUAUUCUAGAAUUUUUUUAAAAUUAUAAGAUUCGUGAUAUGUUGAUUCUUAAAAAUUUAAUUUAUUGUAGAUUUUAACUUUAAUUUUUAAAAUUAUUAUGAUAUAGUUUAAUUGACUAAAUAAUAACAUAUUAUUGAUGUAUAAGACUGUAAAAUUUAAUUACCAUAAUUUGUAAAAUUUGAAUAAAAAAU
rnacentral:lncRNA from 1 species